rnacentral:rRNA from 1 species
UACGGGGGGGGCAAGCGUUGUUCGGAAUUACUGGGCGUAAAGGGCUCGUAGGUGGCCAACUAAGUCAGACGUGAAAUCCCCAGGCUCAACCUGGGAACUGCGUCUGAUACUGGUUGGCUUGAAUCCGGGAGAGGGAUGCAGAAUUCCAGGUGUAGCGGUGAAAUGCGUAGAUAUCUGGAGGAAUACCGGUGGCGAAGGCGGCAUCCUGGACCGGCAUUGACGCUGAGGAGCGAAAGCUAGGGGAGCAAACGGG